rnacentral:rRNA from 1 species
UACGGAGGGUGCGAGCGUUAAUCGGAAUUACUGGGCGUAAAGCGUGCGUAGGCGGCGCGUUAAGUCAGAUGUGAAAGCCCCGGGCUUAACCUGGGAACGGCAUUUGAAACUGGCGAGCUCGAGUUGAGGAGAGGGGAGUGGAAUUUCCGGUGUAGCGGUGAAAUGCGUAGAGAUCGGAAGGAACACCCGUGGCGAAGGCGGCUCCCUGGCCUCAAACUGACGCUGAGGUACGAAAGCGUGGGUAGCAAACAGG